rnacentral:lncRNA from 1 species
GUGAGACUGUGAAUUCUUCAAAAGCAGGUACUGUGUUUAAUGAAGUGUGCCCAGGACUUUGCUCAGUGACUGGAUGACACAGUAGGAGUAACAAGAAAGUUCACAUGGGUGAACCGUGGUAGGUGGACAUCGUCUCUCUCACCUCUUCCCAAAUCAAGGAUGAAGUACAUCUUCAUAAAUCCUCAUGUGAAUUAUUUUGCUACCUCUAGAAGCAUUUUCUAAAACAAGGUGCAGCAAUCAGUUGAGUGAAUUUGUCACCAGAGCUUAUGUUUUCUGAAAGAACCCUAUCCUCAGGCAGUUGUUCCUAAGAGAUUCCACAAAUAUGUCAGCGCUGGAAAUGAUCCUUUGGCUUUGAACUAUGUGAAGACUGCAGAAGGACUGGUUGGUCAGGCUGCAUUUGUAUCCUGGGUCCACAAGACAUCGUUUCCUUAAAACCAAUCCCCCUGAUUUUGCUAAGAUGAAGAAACUGAGGUCCAGAGAAGUUAAACGACCUUCCUAAGAUUACACAGCUUAGUAAGUGGCAGAACCACAGCUGGAAGCCAGGUCCUUCCUCACGCAAGUCCUGGCUCAUUCAUUCCUCUUCCAAAGACUUGCUGAGCACCUUCUAGGUGCCAGAUGCGGUGCUGGCUCCUGGGGACAUGGGAGUGAACAGGCCAGGCGUGGCCCUGAACCAUCAAAUAGACAACCACAGAAAUAACAACAACAAAGACAAAACCGGGCCCUUCCACACAGUAGCUGGAACACAAAGGAAGAUCAGCCAAGCCUCAACAUAAUCUCAUAAAAAUUCUUCAAAUAUCCCAUUGUUAUGGAUUCAUACAUCAGGAAAGCAGAUGCCAAGAACCUGAACACCUUCUACUGGUAACAUAUAUUUUGGCGAGCCAGCCUGGAGACAAGACCACUAUGGGCAACUUCCUGUCUAUUCUACCUGGUGUCACUGUGGACAACUUCCUAUCUAUUCCACCCGAUUCACCGCUUGGCUACAUCCUCCACCAUUGGGAUGAAUUUGACCCUAACAAUCUAAAGAAAAGGCAUAUGAUUUUUUACUGCAAUAUUGUUUGACACAAUUAUGAGCUGCCCAAUCCGGAACAAUGGGCAGUCAAUGGUAGCCUUAAUUAUGAUACCAUCCUGUAUCUAGACCUAUUUUACAAGAGGCAGGGCAAAUGGUCAGAAGUCCCACAUAUACAGGCCUACAUGACCCUAUACGAAGACCUAAGAAUCUAGGAAACUCCCAGAACCCAUCCCCCGAAGGAAAGUUCUGGGGCAGAACUAGAUAUUAUAGAUGAACCCCCUUUUACAAGGGAUACCUGUCUCUCAGAGUGAGCAGUGACUGUCCCCAUAUAACCCCUCACCAAGUGCUCCUGAGGCUGAAACCCAGGGGCAAACAUGGGGAACCCUACUAAGUCCCCCUCACACUUGGAGGGGAACACUGUAUUCAACUCUCUAUCCAGCCCUGCUACUCUCAGAGAAAUAGCAGGGGCUGAGGGGCCAAUCCUAGUGUGGGUCCCCUUCUCUAUGAUUGAUAUACAACAAUGUAAGGAAAAGCUAGGAAGCUAUUCUGAGGAUUCCGGGAAGUUUGCAGAUGGGUUCCAAACUUUGACCUUAGCCUUUGAUCUCUCAUGGAGAGACGUUCAAUUCACUCUAGCAACCUGUUGCACCUCCUCGGAAAAGGAACGAAUCUUUGAGGCUGCCCUCCGAGAAGUGGACGAAUUAUUCACCCAAAACCGUAAAGGCAGUCACCCAGGCCCAGCCACAGUUCCCACUACGCAUCCUAAUUGAGACCAAGACACCCCCGCAGGAAGGAACAACUGGGCUAAAUUUCUUGAGGCUCUUGGAGGAAUGAGAAAGGGAAUAACUAAGGCAGUAAAUUAUGAUAAAGUAAGGCAGAUUACACAAGGCAGGGAGGAAAACCCAGCUGUGUUUUACGGCAGGCUGCGGGAAGCCUUUAAAAAAUAUAUACUAAUUUGGUCCCUUCCUCUCCUGAAGGCAAGUUAUUAAUGGCACAACGUUUCAUUAGCCAAUCCACACCAGACAUUAGACGUAAGCUCCAAAAGCUACACAUGGGGCCACAAACUAACCAAAAUCAGCUUCUUGGUACUGCCUUCAUGGUGUAUAACAAUCGUGACCUGGAGGAAGGAGAAGGGAAACAGAGUAAAGAAAAACGGCAAGCCAAAAUUAUGUUAGCCAUCACUGGUGAUGCCCUAAAUGCACAAAGAUUGUCCAAGGGAAACUCAAAGGGCCAUAAGGAUAAUGCCAGCAAAGGCUCUUGCUUCAAAUGCAAUAAAAGUGCGAUUGGGCACAGGAAUCCACUAAGCCCCCGCCAGUCCCCUGCCGUCAAUGUAAAAGCACCAGUUGUGGCUCCUGGCCCUGGAGAAUUGACUGUCCCUGCUCCCACCAAGGGGCUCAGUCAGUCAAAACUCUGGCAGUGCACAAGGAGGAAUCAGAUGAAGACUGAAGGGGCCUGGGGCCUUCCUCACUGCCCCGUCUAGGAACAUUGUAAUUACUACUGAGGAACCCUGGGUAACUCUGGACAUCAUGGCCACCCAAAUUCAGUUUUUAUGUGAUACCAAGGUGAAUUAUUCUGUACAACUGCUUAUGCAGGAAAACUUUCCUCCCGGUCCAUGAGUGAUAUUGGAUGGAAGGGAAGCCACAAACAAGAUUCUUACUCCUCCUUUGGUUUGUCAAUUUGAGAAACAAAUCUUCCAACAGGAAUUUUUAGUAGUACCAAGCUGCCCAAUUCCCCUGUGGGAAAGAGAUAUUAUGGUGAAAAUAGUGACACUACUGCAAUUUAAGCAAUAUUAGCAGGUGAAACUGCUAAUAGUAAGAAAUAAGGCAAUGUCCCAGACCAUGUCAAUAAACAGGUUAACCCACUGGCAUGGUAUACUGGAAACCCAGGGAAGGCUAAAACAGCAGUGCCAGUCAAAAUACAGCUUAAAGACCCCAGCCAUUUUCCCAAUGGAAAACAAUACCCAGUUGAACAGGAAGCAAGCAAAGGUCUAGCUCCCAUAGUUGAGAUAUUACUUACCCAUGGACUCUUAAAACCCUGCAAUUCUCCCUGCAAUACCCCCAUCUUACCUGUUCUCAAGCCUGGGGGGAAUACCAGCUAGUACAGAACCUCAGAAUAAUGAAUGAGGCUGUUAUCCCCGUCCACCCAUUGGUGGCAGAUCCAUAUGCCCUCCUGGCUCAGGUGCCAGGGCAUGCAAAAUGGUUCUCAGUCCUAGACCUUUCUUCUCCAUUCCUCUGGCCCCGAGCCCCCCAGUACCUUUUUGCUUUCGAAUGGGAAAAUCCUAAUACCAGAUAAAAACAAUACACUUGGACAGUGCUUCCUCAGGGCUUUCGGGAUAGCCCCCACUUCUUUGCCUGAGCAUUAGAGCGGGAUCUGAGGGAUUUCAAGUUAGAAAAUGGAGGUAUUCUUCAGUAUGGGGAUGACCUUGUGUGUAGCCCAACCUAGGAGGUUUCUGACCAAAAUACUAUAAAAACUUUGAAUUUCCUGGCAGACAGAGGAUACAAAGUGUCCAAAAAGAAGGCUCAGAUUACCCUCCAAUGGGUCCACUAUUUAGGAUAUGUCUUAACACCCGGAACCCGGCAAAUAUCCCCAGAAGGAGUGCAAGCUAUAUGUGGUUUGGCCGCGUGCACCACCCCCAGCCCCCACCCUGACCCACCUCCAAGCAGCAGCUUUGUUCCUUUUUGGGGAUGGCCGGGCUUUGGAGAAUAUGAGUACCAAAUUUUGGGCUCAUAGCAAAGCCCCUAUAUGAAGCAACAAGGGGGCCUGAAAAUGAGCUAAUGGAAUGGACCCCGGAAAUGAGGAAAGCCUUUGCCAAGUUAAAACAGGUUCUCACCCAGGCUCCUGCUCUUGGUAUCCCAGACCUAAUUAAGGCCUUCUCCUUGUAUGUAGCAGAGAAGAGGGGCAUAGCUGUGGGAGUGCUAGCCCAGAAAUUAGGAUCAGAACCCAGACCAACCGCCUACUUCUCAAAAAAGUUGGACGGAGUGGCCUCAGGAUGGCCAAGUUGCCUGCGGGCAAUAGCAGCCACUGCUGUUAGUGGAGGAAGCCACUAAAAUCACCCUAGGGCAACCACUGGAAGUUCUAACGCUCCAUCAGGUAAAGUUAGUCUUAGAAAUAAAGGGACACAUCUGGAUGACAGGGGAAAUGUUAACUAAAUACCAGCCCAUGCUCCUAGACAAUCCAGAUAUAACUCUUAAAACCUGCAACACUUUAAAUCCAGCUUCAUUGCUGCCCACAGGCCCAAUAAUUGAUCAUUCCUGUGAGCAGGUCAUUGCACAUACAUAUGUUAGCCAGCCUGAUUUAAAAGAUGAGGCUCUCCCAGAUUCUGAAGCUGACCGGCUCACAGACGGCAGUAGUUCUUUGUCGAAUGGGGAGCACAGAGCUGGAUAUGCAGCAGUAAAUCAUGACACAAUUAUUGAAGCCCAGCCAGUGCCCCCUGGCACAUCAGCACAAAAGGCUAAAAUCAUUGAUCUUACUCAAGCAUUAAUGUUGGGACAAGGGAAAAAACUUAACAUCUAUACAGAUUCUAAAUAUGCAUUCCUUGUGGUUCAUGCUCAUACCGCCAUCAGGAAAGAAAGGGGAUUACUUACUAGCAAGCACUCCCCUAUAGAGCAUGGACCUGAAAUUCUGCAGCUAUUGAAGGCAAUACACCUGCCAAAGGCCAUAGCUAUCAUUCAUUGUAGGGGGCAUCAAAGGGACUUAACCCCUAUAGCACAAGGGAAUGGAAAGGCUGACGGAAGCCAAAGCAAAAGCCCUCAGCGUGCAAUCCCAACAGAUCCUAGCACUGCUUCCUUUCUACAAUUCCCCAGUAGAACCCAAAUACACACCACAGGAAGAACAGCUAAUAAAAAAAGCAAGGGAGACAAAAACAAGGAUCCUGGUGGCAUAUGGAGCCAAAAAUAUAUCUCCCUCAGGCAGCCCAGUGGAGAGUUAUAAAAGCCCUGCAUGACUCUUUCCAUGUGGGGAGGGAUGCGGCUCUGGCCAUGGUAAACAAGUUCUUUACUGGGUUUAACUCAGCUUCAAUGGCUAAGCAGGUCUGUCAAGCCUGCUCACUGUGUGCAUUUAACAAUCCAGGCAUCAAAAUGCCCCCUCUAAUAAAACCAGUCCAAAGGAGGGGAACUUAUCCAGGGGAAGACUGGCAGUUAGACGUCAUCCAUAUGCCAGCUUGCAGAGGAUACAAGCUUUUGUUAAUACUAAUAGAUACUUUUAGGUUGGGUCAAAGGUUACCCCAGAAAAGGCUAAUGAGGUUCUAAGGUCCUCUUAAAAGAAAUAAUUCCCCAGUUUGGGUUACCUCAGGGUCUCCAAAGUGAUAAUGGCUAAUCCUUUAUCUCCCAAAUAACUCAAGGGGUUGCUAAGGCUCUUGGAAUAAAAUACUAUUUACAUUCAGCCUGGAGGCCCCAAUCCUCUGGAAAAGUGGAAAGGGUUAACCAAACUCUAAAAUAAGCACUAGCUAAACUAUGUCAGGAAACAUCAGAAACUUGGGUUAGCUUAUUGCUCACAGCCCUUUUAAGAAUUUGUAAUACCCCUAGCUCAAAAAUUAACAGAAGCCCAUAUAAAAUGUUAUACAGAAGGCCAUUCUUAACUAAUGAUUUAAUUAUUGACCCAGAAAGAGUUGGUGUAAUUAAAUACCUAGUCAACCCAGAACAAUUCCAGCGGGUUUACAAGAGUUUGGAAUUCAAAGGCUCCUCACACUUGGAACUAACCAGCAACCCAAAAUCAGGCCAGGAGAUAGGGUACUUGUUAAAACAUGGAAUGAGGGAUCACCUGCCCAACAAUUACAACCCCAAUAGAAGGGACUUUUUUCAGUAAUACUGGCCACGUCUUCUGUGGUCAAAGUACUAGUAUUAGAUAGCUGGAUACAUCUUUCAAGGAUCAAACCAUCAAUACCAGAAGCUCCAGACCAGGAACCUGAAGUUCCCAUCAGCCAGUACACCUGUGAACCAGUGGAGGACCUGAAGUACCUGUUUAAAAGAUAGCCAAAAGAUAAGUAAAUGCCUACCAACUUUCUUUGGUGUCUUUGUUGCAUAGUUACUGUGGGCUGGAAAAUAGUAGCCAUUUUUAUCUUUGCAGUUUAAUUGCCUUCUUCCAAAUAGAUAAAAAUCACUUCCUUUGUAAUAAUUAAACAGAAUUUAAAAAAUACAUUUCUAUGACAAAUAUUCCUGAUGGCAUAAGUAUCCACCCCAAGGUUCCCAUUAAAUCUUUUAACCUAAAGUAUUUCCUCUCACCUAGAGAUCAUCGAGCUGUGUGACAAGGGUGCCAGCCACUCCAGGUGAAGACACCACCCCAGGCCAUCAAGGAUCUUCCCUACCUUCACUAAACAGAGCAGGGUGAAAGUUGUGUGAUCCCCAAUAGGUAGGGACUACACCCCAAGUCAGCAGGAAGCAGUUACAGAAGAAAGACCAUUGGUCCCUCUGCUUCCCAUAAAGAUUUAUGGGGAUCACAGCUUUCACGGGGGAGAUGAGGCAAGAGAAUAGGGCAUGCAGGCAGGGUACUUGAGGCCAAUCCACGCUGACUUCCUAGAACUGAAUUAAAUGAAAGCUCCUCAGCAAUGACAGGAAUGUGAAUGGCUUUGUAACUUCUUCCUCUCCAUUAAUGCUAUUUCCACUUUGUAACUUCACUUUCAUCCUCUCCAUUUACAUAGAUCACACACCAAGUAACAUCCUCUCCAUUUACAGUAGGGCGCAUUCCGAGUCAAUGACUCUGACUGCACUUCGUUCUCCUCAUUUACAUAGAACAUUCGCCAAGUAACCAAUGGGAAACCUCUAGAGUAUUGAAACUCCAGAAAAUUCCGUAAGUGGGGCUCUUGAGCGUCUACACUCGGGUCGCUCCCACACUGUGGCGUGUACUUUUAUUCUCAAUAAAUUCCCGCUUUUGCUUUCCUCGUUC